UACGAAGGGGGCUAGCGUUGCUCGGAAUCACUGGGCGUAAAGCGCACGUAGGCGGAUCGCUAAGUCAGGGGUGAAAUCCUGGAGCUCAACUCCAGAACUGCCCUUGAUACUGGCGGUCUCGAGUCCGGGAGAGGUGAGUGGAACUGCGAGUGUAGAGGUGAAAUUCGUAGAUAUUCGGAAGAACACCAGUGGCGAAGGCGACACACUGGCCCGUUACUGACGCUGAGGCGCGAAAGCGUGGGGAGCAAACAGG
rnacentral:rRNA from 1 species